GCUAAGAGGCUGCAGCAGUUAAAAGCAGAGGACAUGAGCCCUAGCUGGUGUGGCUCAAUGGACAGAGCAUCGGCCUGUGGACUGAAGGGUCCUGGGUUCGAUUCCCGUCAAGGGCACAUGCCCGGGUUACAGGCUGGAUCCCCAGUGUGGGUAUGCAGGAGGCAGCCAAUAGGUGAUUCUCUCUCAUCAUUGAUAUUUCUAUCUCUCCCUCUCCUUUCCUCUUAGAAAUCAAUAAAAAUAUAUUUAAAAAUAAAAAUAAAAAAUAAAAGCACAGGACAUGAGUCCGAGCCGGUUUGGCUCAGUGGACAGAGCGUCGGCCUGCGGACUGAAGGGUCCCAGGUUCGAUUCCGGUCAAGGGCACAUGCCUGGGUUGGGGGCUCAUUCCCCAGUAGGGGGUGUGCAGGAGGCAGCCAAUCAGUGAUUCUCUCUCAUCAUGGAUGUUUCUUUCUCCCUCUUCCUUCCUCUCUGAAAUAAAAAUAAAUAAAUAAAAAUACAAGAAGAAUGAAAUACUUAAAGAAGAAAAAAAGCAUAGGACAUGAGCCCAGACUUGGGCUCGAAUCUUGACUCUAACACUCCUCGAAGCUUCUUGGUCUUGGGCAAGCUGCUUGGCUUUUCCGAGCCUCAGUGUCCCCAUCCGUGAAAUGGGAACACCCUGCCCCACUGUGCCCUUUGGUGAGUGUGGAGGCCCCUGUGAGGCUGGGAACUCGCCCGCCGUGCCCGCAGGCCCUCACCGGUUCAGGAUCCAGACCUCCUUGCUGCAGGCCAGGGCUGCGCGGAGCUUAUCCGCUUCGUUUACCAGGGUGGCUUUCCGGAACUGCUCCCAGGCGAAGUCCCACUCGGCCUCGCCGCCCUGGGCGAUGGCGUUGCAGUAGAUGGUGGACCGCAGGUUGGGGUGGA